rnacentral:rRNA from 1 species
UGGGGAAUAUUGCACAAUGGGGGAAACCCUGAUGCAGCGACGCCGCGUGAGCGAAGAAGGUUUUCGAAUCGUAAAGCUCUGUCAUAUGAGAAGAUAAUGACGGUAUCAUAGGAGGAAGCCUCGGCUAAAUACGUGCCAGCAGCCGCGGUAAUACGUAUGGGGCGAGCGUUGUCCGGAAUUAUUGGGCGUAAAGGGUACGUAGGCGGUCUAUUAAGUCAGGUGUGAAAGCGUGAGGCUUAACCUCAUUAAGCACUUGAAACUGAUAGACUUGAGUGAAGGGGGGGAAAUUGGAAUUCCUAGUGUAGCGGUGAAAUGCGUAGAUAUUAGGAGAAAUACCGGUAGUGAAGGCGACUUUCUGGACUUUUACUGACGCUCAGGUACGAAAGCGUGGGGAGCAAACAGG